UACGGAGGGUGCGAGCGUUGUCCGGAAUCAUUGGGCGUAAAGGGCGCGUAGGUGGCGGGACAAGCGUGCGGUGAAAGCUCGGGGCUCAACCCCGCGUCGGCCGUGCGAACUGUUUUGCUUGAGCACUGUAGAGGCAGGCGGAAUUCCGGGUGUAGCGGUGGAAUGCGUAGAGAUCCGGAAGAACACCGGUGGCGAAGGCGGCCUGCUGGGCAGUAGCUGACACUGGAGG
rnacentral:rRNA from 1 species